rnacentral:rRNA from 1 species
GACGAACGCUGGCGGCGUGCUUAACACAUGCAAGUCGAACGGAAAGGCCCUGCUUUUGUGGGGUUCUCGAGUGGCGAACGGGUGAGUAACACGUGAGUAACCUGCCCUUGACUUUGGGAUAACUUCAGGAAACUGGGGCUAAUACCGGAUAGGAGCUCCUGCUGCAUGGUGGGGGUUGGAAAGUUUCGGCGGUUGGGGAUGGACUCGCGGCUUAUCAGCUUGUUGGUGGGGUAGUGGCUUACCAAGGCUUUGACGGGUAGCCGGCCUGAGAGGGUGACCGGCCACAGUGGGACUGAGAUACGGCCCAGACUCCUACGGGAGGCAGCAGUGGGGAAUAUUGCACAAUGGGCGGAAGCCUGAUGCAGCAACGCCGCGUGCGGGAUGACGGCCUUCGGGUUGUAAACCGCUUUCGCCUGUGACGAAGCGUGAGUGACGGUAAUGGGUAAAGAAGCACCGGCUAACUACGUG